rnacentral:tRNA from 1 species
GCGUUAGUAGUUUAAUGGUAGAAUAGUUGUGUGCCACACAAUUGAUAAGGGUUCGAUUCCCUUCUGACGCUCCA